CUUGGUCAUAUGAUGAUUACAAGCAUAGUUCAACUGAUAAUCUCUGUGAUUAUACAAAACCUUUUAGUCUUUCGCUCCUAUCUGAUGACCUCG
rfam:Populus trichocarpa scaffold_18_contig_206, whole genome shotgun sequence.